AGUGAACGCUGGCGGUAUGCCUAACACAUGCAAGUCGAACGGCAGCACAGUAAGAGCUUGCUCUUACGGGUGGCGAGUGGCGGACGGGUGAGGAAUACAUCGGAAUCUACUUUUUCGUGGGGGAUAACGUAGGGAAACUUACGCUAAUACCGCAUACGACCUACGGGUGAAAGCAGGGGAUCUUCGGACCUUGCGCGAUUGAAUGAGCCGAUGUCGGAUUAGCUAGUUGGCGGGGUAAAGGCCCACCAAGGCGACGAUCCGUAGCUGGUCUGAGAGGAUGAUCAGCCACACUGGAACUGAGACACGGUCCAGACUCCUACGGGAGGCAGCAGUGGGGAAUAUUGGACAAUGGGCGCAAGCCUGAUCCAGCCAUACCGCGUGGGUGAAGAAGGCCUUCGGGUUGUAAAGCACUUUUGUUGGGAAAGAAAAGCAGCAGGUUAAUACCCCGCUGUUAUGACGGUACCCAAAGAAUAAGCACCGGCUAACUUCGUG
rnacentral:rRNA from 1 species